rnacentral:rRNA from 1 species
ACUCAAAUGAAUUGACGGGGACCCGCACAAGCGGUGGAUCAUGUGGUUUAAUUCGAAGGUACGCGAAGAACCUUACCAAGGCUUGACAUCCCGAUCGUACGACUAGGAAACUAGUUGGUCAGUUCGGCUGGAUCGGUGACAGGUGUUGCAUGGCCGUCGUCAGCUCGUGUCGUGAGAUGUUGGGUUAAGUCCCGCAACGAGCGCAACCCUUAUUUGUCUGUUGAAUUUUCAGGCGAGACUGCCCCGGUCAACGGGGAGGAAGGUGGGGACGAAGUCAGGUCAGCAUGGCCCUUACGCCUUGGGCUACACACGUGAUACAAUGGCCGGUACAACGGGUCGCGAACCCGCGAGGGGGAGCUAAUCCCAUCAAAACCGGUCUCAGUUCGGAUUGCAGGCUGCAACUCGCCUGCAUGAAGUUGGAAUCGCUAGUAACCGUAGGUCAGCACACUACGGUGAAUACGUUCUCGGGUCUUGUACACACCGCCCGU